rnacentral:lncRNA from 1 species
AUAGAGGAUCCAUUUACUAUUUAACAAUUUUUUGUUUGGGUUCGGUUCAGAUAGCUUUGGGUUUGGUUCGGAUUGAUUCCGAUAGUAAAAUUAGGAACCAAAAGAUACCCAAAAUGUUUUGGUCCUCAUUUGGUUUCGGCUCUGGUUCGCUAUUUCAAGUAGUGUAGGUUAAAUAACAUGUAUUUUCGAUAAAAUAACGAAUAAUUAGGAUGAUUUAGAUUAAAAAAUCUGAUAUUUUGGUUACUUUGGAUAAAAAUAUCUGGAUAGUUUCGGAUACGUUCAGAUAGUUCAGAUACUUUACAAUAAUUUAGUCUUUUUCAAAUAUUUUAAAUAUAUUUUUAAAGUGUAUAUAUAUAUAUUUAGCUAUGCUAUAUGUAUAUAUAUAAUUAA